rnacentral:tRNA from 1 species
GGGGCCGUGGCUCAGAUGGAUAGAGCAAGCGCCUCCUAAGCGCUAGGUCGCGGGUUCGAAUCCCGCCGGUCCCG